rfam:Protomyces lactucaedebilis strain 12-1054 BCR37scaffold_13, whole genome shotgun sequence.
GCCCGCUUGGCUUAGUGGUACAGCAUAUCACUUGUAAUGAUAAGAUCACUCGUUCGAUUCGGGUAGUGGGCA